rnacentral:rRNA from 1 species
AGUGAACGCUGGCGGUAGGCCUAACACAUGCAAGUCGAACGGCAGCACAGUAAGAGCUUGCUCUUACGGGUGGCGAGUGGCGGACGGGUGAGGAAUACAUCGGAAUCUACUUUUUCGUGGGGGAUAACGUAGGGAAACUUACGCUAAUACCGCAUACGACCUACGGGUGAAAGCAGGGGAUCUUCGGACCUUGCGCGAUUGAAUGAGCCGAUGUCGGAUUAGCUAGUUGGUGGGGUAAAGGCCCACCAAGGCGACGAUCCGUAGCUGGUCUGAGAGGAUGAUCAGCCACACUGGAACUGAGACACGGUCCAGACUCCUACGGGAGGCAGCAGUGGGGAAUAUUGGACAAUGGGCGCAAGCCUGAUCCAGCCAUACCGCGUGGGUGAAGAAGGCCUUCGGGUUGUAAAGCCCUUUUGUUGGGAAAGAAAAGCAGCAGGUUAAUACCCCGCUGUUCUGACGUUACCCAAAGAAUAAGCACCGGCUAACUUCGUG